rnacentral:rRNA from 1 species
UACGUAGGGUGCAAGCGUUGUUCGGAAUUAUUGGGCGUAAAGCGCGUGUAGGUGGCUAGUUAAGUUGGAUGUGAAAUCCCUGGGCUCAACCGAGGAAGUGCAUUCAAAACUGGCUGGCUAGAAGAUAGUAGAGGAAGGUGGAAUUCCAAGUGUAGAGGUGAAAAUUCGUAGAUAUUUGGAGGAAUACCGGCGGCGAAGGCGGCCUUCUGGGCUAUUCUUGACACUGAGACGCGAAAGCGUGGGGAGCAAACAGG